GAUGAACGCUGGCGGCGUGCCUAAUACAUGCAAGUCGAGCGAACAGACGAGGAGCUUGCUCCUCUGACGUUAGCGGCGGACGGGUGAGUAACACGUGGAUAACCUACCUAUAAGACUGGGAUAACUUCGGGAAACCGGAGCUAAUACCGGAUAAUAUAUUGAACCGCAUGGUUCAAUAGUGAAAGACGGUUUUGCUGUCACUUAUAGAUGGAUCCGCGCCGCAUUAGCUAGUUGGUAAGGUAACGGCUUACCAAGGCAACGAUGCGUAGCCGACCUGAGCGGGUGGUCGGCUACACUGGAACUGAGACACGGUCCAGACUCCUACGGGAGGCAGCAGUAGGGAAUCUUCCGCAAUGGGCGAAAGCCUGACGGAGCAACGCCGCGUGAGUGAUGAAGGUCUUCGGAUCGUAAAACUCUGUUAGUAGGGAAGAACAAAUGUGUAAGUAACUAUGCACGUCUUGACGGUACCUAAUCAGAAAGCCACGGCUAACUACGUG
rnacentral:rRNA from 1 species